rnacentral:rRNA from 1 species
GACGAACGCUGGCGGCGUGCUUAACACACGCAAGUCGAGCGGUAAGGCCCUUUCGGGGGUACACGAGCGGCGAACGGGUGAGUAACACGUGGGUGACCUGCCCUCAGCUCUGGGAUAAGCCUGGGAAACUGGGUCUAAUACUGGAUAUGACUCCACGGUGCAUGUCGUGGGGUGGAAAGCCUUGUGCGGCUGAGGAUGGGCCCGCGGCCUAUCAGCUUGUUGGUGGGGUGANGGCCUACCAAGGCGACGACGGGUAGCCGGCCUGAGAGGGCGACCGGCCACACUGGGACUGAGACACGGCCCAGACUCCUACGGGAGGCAGCAGUGGGGAAUCUUGCGCAAUGGGCGAAAGCCUGACGCAGCGACGCCGCGUGAGGGAUGACGGCCUGGU